rnacentral:misc_RNA from 1 species
CUUUCCUAUGAAAGAAAUAACAAAAGCAAUGACAAUUAAUCCUUAAUCCCAAACUAGUUAGGUUCAGGUUGGCUUUAUGGACUGUUUUUUGCUAUUAAGCUCUGUUAGACACCAUGUCUACCUUAAUAUCCAAGACUUGUAAAUCUUGUGAUACUAUUUCCCUUGACGUCAUCUUAAGCCUCCGCCUUCCCUUUUUCAGUCCUUUCACUAUUAACUUAUCACACUUCCAUACUGG